rnacentral:rRNA from 1 species
ACGAACGCUGGCGGCGUGCUUAACACAUGCAAGUCGGACGAUGAAGCCUAGCAUGCUAGGUGGAUUAGUGGCGAACGGGUGAGUAAUACGUGAGUAACCUACCUUUAACUCUGGGAUAAGCCUGGGAAACUGGGUCUAAUACCGGAUACGACCAAUCUCCGCAUGGGGUGUUGGUGGAAAGCAUUAUGUAGUGGUUAUAGAUGGGCUCACGGCCUAUCAGCUUGUUGGUGAGGUAACGGCUCACCAAGGCGACGACGGGUAGCCGGCCUGAGAGGGUGACCGGCCACACUGGGACUGAGACACGGCCCAGACUCCUACGGGAGGCAGCAGUGGGGAAUAUUGCACAAUGGGCGCAAGCCUGAUGCAGCGACGCCGCGUGAGGGAUGACGGCCUUCGGGUUGUAAACCUCUGUUAGCAGGGAAGAAGAGAGAUUGACGGUACCUGCAGAGAAAGCGCCGGCUAACUACGUG